CUGGAAGGACCUGACAGCUGAUAAGCCAGAGAGGAUUCUGAAGGAACAGAAGUGCUGGGGAAAGGGAGGCAGAGCUGGGAAGCUCUGAACAGGCAAACUCCCAGGCUGAGGCCUUGCUCUUAAGGCCUGAGGGUACUAGGGCUACAAGAAAGUGUGGAAGAAAAGGCAGUGAUGAGGAGCUAUUUCACACUGCAGUUUGCCCCUAAGGCAGGGGCUCACUGAUGACUGGGGGAGUGGGUGGUCACUGAAGGAAGGGGGUAUAGAGGCCUGGGGUUCCCUGGGAGGGGAGGACCCCAAUGUGAGGGCACUGCUGGAGGGCAGUCCUGUGAGAAAAGGAAUGAGACACCAGCCAGCAAAGGCACUCCAUGGCUGAAUAGCUGAUUCUUAAGGAGAUCAAUAGAAGGCGCUGUGGUAUCCGACUCAAAAUGAGACACUGGAACCAGCUGGAGACAUCUGAAGAAGGCAGAUCUGCUUGCAUAGCCAACAAGGGAUGGUAAACCUUUAAGUAAGGACCAAGAUGAGUGUCCACGUUACCCGUGCAUCAAGUUUUCAAUACAGUAAAAUCAGAAUGGUCUGAUUUAUGUGUGUCUGGUGCUCCUAUGAUGACUGCGACAAACAGAUAGAUCAACCAACUUUACUGCAAGUUAAGUAAAGAAAGUACUGAGAUGAUGACUCUUCCCCGAUUGUUGUGAAGGUACAAAGCUGAGACACAAGAUGGGUGAGGUGCUAUCUGGCUUAUUUCUUUCAACAAGAACAGGUCACAGAAGUGAGUGGGCAAGGUUCUGCAGCCUGCAAUAUGCAGGAGGCCAGAGUAGAUGACCUCAAUGAUCUUAUUUGACCUUAAGGUGUAGGAGUACAAUAGAAGAUAUUACUUCACUCACCCUGUCUCUCUGUGACCAACAGGGCUAUAACACGCGGCAAAGCUAAAUUUGUAAAAUCUAGUAAUUGUUCAAGAUGUCUUUGUGUGGCCCUGAACUGUGCCAUUAUUCAUCUCGCAAUAUCACAGCAAAUGGUAAUAUGCAGCUUUAAGGUCCUGAUCCUUCGAAGACCUCAGCAGUAUUUAAUUUUGUACACCAUGAGUAAUCCAGUUGAGUUUAUGGACCACUCAGAGCUACCCACAAGGUGCAGAAUCGAGCUGCACCUUGUGUAACUCUGUGGGCAGUUUUAGAGUCCUCCGAGAGCCUUUAGAGGGGUUUUUACACAUUAUUCUCUCAUUAUUAGUAGUAUCACACUUAUGAGUGGGUUGUCCCUCUUGUAAGAGAAUUGGAACGUUCACACUAGUAAUACCUCACCUCCUGGUAAAGCAAAACUUUAAGGAUGCCCAAAUUGCAUAAGGAUUUCAAGUUUCAAAACUGUCUGCUAUCUCUUUUUCUUCUCUGGUUUGGUUUCUUGGGUUGGAUUCAAUCAACAGGAAAUUUCUUUUUAAUUUUUUUCCACUCACCUGAGACUUGUGUGAAUAAAAGGUGUAGCCUCUCACUAGCUGUGUAGCAACAUAAUCCCAUUGAGGUCAAUGGAGCUGUGCUGAUUUACAUAACCUAAGAAUCUGGCCCAAACACAUCAUACAAUUUUCUGAUGACUAGGUGUAUGUUCACACAGAAGUUGGAGGUGCGACUGCAACACACAGAUAGCCACAUCUGAGCCAUCUUACUUAAAAUAGCAGCAUAGCCACAUGUGAAGGGUUUAUCACACAAGUAUAUGCCUUGGGUCCCAGGUGUUACUGUAAGUCACACCUCUCCAUUAGAUAUAUCUUGGUGUUUUUAUUAAACUUUGACAGACUAUUCUUCUGUCCUUUUAGCAACCAAAGAACUUUUUCAGUUGGAUAUAAAUGGCCAGUCAUAAAUAUGAAGAAAAAUAAAGUCAGUGAGUUUGAAAAGUUAAGAGAUCACUUCUAGUCUGUCUCCAAACCUGUGUCAUCUAUAUGAAUAUGCUGGCUAGAUGAAUAUUCCUAUGAAGAGUGAGCAACUAACUCGCUCAGUUAUGAACCAUAGAUGGGGUUCAUCUAAUUGUUCCUGCUGCCUGUCUUUUUCUUUGUUUCCCCUUUCUCCUUAACAUUUGCCUGUCUGUGUUCCAAAAUUAGUUGUCACCAGAGCUGGGCAGACCUGGCAGUUAACAAAUGUAGAUCAAAAUGCUUCUAAAGUUACACUUCAGAGUUCACAUUUUUAACCCGCCCUCAUAACAGUUCACAUUCAGAUUCAGCAUUAAUGGUAUCACCCAAGCACAAAGUCAUAGCAAGAAAACCCCACUAUUCCCUAUUUCCACCAUAUUCAUUCUCUGUUGCUUGCGGUCAUGAAUUUUCAGUCACUAGAGCUUUCUUGUCUAAAUUGCACUGGCUUACUAAGGCAUUUAAUAAACCAGCCAGGUAAAGGAGAGCCUGUUCAAGCUGGGAGACAGUUACCCAGCAGACAUUCUAGUGACUGCAAACUUACCAUUUCUUGCAGCUGGAUGCUACUUUCAGCUCAUCCGUGGUCCCGUGGCUGAGUUUCUGACCUGUUUAUCAAGCAUUUUGUGGUCUCCUGCCUUCAGAACCUUUUGAUAUCUAAAAUAUACCAGAGCCUGAAGGAGAGGAGCUGGAAUUCUUGACAUUGUCCUAAGAAUAAGAGAUGUAGGGAGCAGAGCUCCUGCAACUGAGCUGCUACUGCAUGACUGUAUUCAGUAAGAAUGAGCCCUUACCUUGGUGCAAAGCUGAAUCCUGAACGUGCAACUUCCUCGUUUAGACCUCUUGUGGCUUUCGCACACACUACCAGCAUUUUUAAUGGCAGCUAAAUCAUAAUAGAAAUUCAAUAUUUUACAUAUUAUUGCAUAAAUGGUUUCAUCCCAAAGAUUUAAUUUCAAGCUGUGUUGCUUAUCUGGCCAACCCAAUCCAUAUCGCAAUAUUACCCAUAUACCUCUGAAGAAUUUUGAAUAAGGACGUCAGCCAUCUGGGAGACUUGUGCACAUCACUUCUGAAUUUUGGCAAAUAUUUAUAUAUUUCAUUAUCUUGCUCCUUUGAAAAUCCUCCUGGUCCCUGAAUGUGGAUUUCACAGGGUAGAUUUGGCCAAGAAGCAAUAACAGUUCUGCACUUCAGAAAUAUGUGCUGAAUGUGCAUCCCAUAAUUAACCCAUACCUAAAACUCAUGUUUGGCACCUAUGUAUUUGUUUUGUAAGAGAUUAAGUUUCAUAAGUAUUCUCUGGACAACUGAAUGAUCACUCUGUAGAAUACACAGUGAAUACUUCUCUAGGGAAUGAGGCAGGAAUAUAUCCUAGCUGAAUAACGGCGGGGUAGCAGGAAAGUUUAAAUGACAGGUUUGAGUCUCACCAUUCCUAGAUGUAUGCACAGGAAGGGAAAGCACUGUAAGUUUAACACCCUGGGAUGGCUAAGAGUGAGUCAUCUGAUGUCCAACCACAGACUACCGCUGUAUAACCUACACUGUUGAGAAGCCUGGCCUGAGGAAAAGAGCACUGGUUACCCUUUAAAUUAGCUUUGAUUUCAAUGGGAGCAUAUUCAGGCCCCAUCUUCUGCAAUAAAUGAGAGCAUCUGUCAUAGCCUGCAACGGCCCUUGUUGUAGUAUACGGGGCAAAACUCUCCAGCAGUGUCCCAAAUCCCGAUAGCCUCUCUAACUGCGAAUGAUUGAGUGCACUUGUGCAUGUAGCCAGCCAUCUGCUUAGUGGCUCCAAAUUCUAAGGGAGACACUGAGUACCAAAUGGUCUUUGCUGCAUCCAGCAUCAGUGUGGUUCAGAGGAACAUGGUACAAAGUUAGGGCCCCUCCCAUACCCAUUCCUGAUGAAUCUGUACCCUCUUGGGGAACUGUUAGUACCAACAUAGGGAAGGAGUGGCUCCAAUAUAAAACAAGAUUUGAAACAUGAUUCCCGUAGAGUCACUGAGUUUCAAACCAGAAGGGACCUCCAGAUUUUCUACUGAUCUCUUGUGAAUGACAAGCCUCUCAAUUCCAUCCUGUUCCUCCUGCUUUAAACCUAAUAACCUGGAUUAGAUUGAAGUAUUACAGCCCUCAAGACAGUAAACUGUUGUGUGCCAUGGACCGAGGAACAGUGACUGAAGGGCACCUAUGGCAAGGGAUUGAUUUGGUGAGAUAAACCCAGAUGGUCCUAGCAAGCUGCAUGCCCCCAUACUGCAGCAGAAAGUAAAAGAAAACAAGCACACAAAUUUCCUGCCAAUCCAACCUGUGGAAGAAUUUCCUCCUAAUCCUGAAAACUGUGAGCAGUUGAGACCCGAGCACGUAAGCAGGACCCACCAGGCAACCACCUAAGAAAUAAUUCUGUGUACUUGUCCCAUGUCCAGCUGUUUCCAUCUCUGAUGUUUUAGAGGAAAAACAAAACACACACACACUAACACCACCACAACCCUGAAUACAUCAGAAGGGGAAGAAUUCCUUCCUGACCUCUACCAGUGACAGGCUGAAGCCCCAAAGCAUGGGAUUUAGGAACAUAAGGCACAGGACCACAAUAUUUUAGAGCUACAAUAAAUUUUACUCAGGACCAAUCUUUGUUAUAUAGCCACCAACUAACUUAGUAGAUCCCCACUUUCUUCUUCAUCAGGCAAACUCUGAAGCAAAUAAACUGACUCGAUUCCUCUUGUGGCAGCAAGACCAAAACACAAGGAAUCAUCUUACUACCAAACUUUUCCCAAUUUCCUUCAUGAGGGCCAGGCAGGAGAGUCUGGAUCUAGUUAAUAUUGUUCCAUUAUAUGGGAGCUGCUGUUGAUUUGGAGUCCUAUAUGUUGUAAGGCUGGUGCAGGUCUUCCUUUGCUUUACAAGAAAAGAUACUGUGGAAAAACAAAAUCUUGAGAGGGGCUUUAACAUUCACAUGUGUGGUUCCCGUCUGUCACUGUCACCUAUUUGUGUCACUGCGGUUCCAGCAGGUAAAAGAAGCACAAGACAAACCACAUCUGUGCAAACUUUCUAAGUGAGAGGUCUUUGUUCAAUUUUUCACAUAAAAAAGUGCUGCUGAUUUCAAUGCAAAUCAAAUUACAUUUAUAUGAGUGAGUUCAUCUUAGAAGAAUGAAAACCCUGCAGAUGUCCCAACCACAAAAUAACCUGUUUCCAGAAAGCUCACAGCUCAAAGGAGAACAAAUUUGUCUCCAGACUAGUCCAUCACGGCUUAGAAAAUUAGCUAGAAGUCUUUUGACACUUCUAGCCACUAAAAACACUGAAAAUCACACUUAAAACAGAGUUGCAUAAUGUUGUCUUUUCUAAUUCUCUCCAAAUAUUGGAGGUUAGGCCAGACAAUACAUUAACAGAGGCUGCACCAGGCAUUUCUUGUGGAAGGGAUGCAAGGAACCUUUUUCCCCCUCUUCUUUCUGCUGUGGAGAUAGGCCAGAGAGGUAUCAGUAAGAACAGAGCAAUCAUCUUGAAUUCACAGAACCAUUUAGAUUCAGUGAUGCCAGGCUUCCUAGUGCAUUACUCAAGCCUAUUUUAAGAAAGAAAGAAAGAGGAUGAAAUUCUUAAAGGACUCAGGGUAUGGCUACACUAAAAAUUUAAUUUGAAAUAACAGUUGUUAUUUCAAAUUAACUUCAAUAGUGUCUAUACAUGGAAACCGCUAUUUCAAAUUAAAUUCGCAAUAGCGGAGCGCUUAAUUCCAAUUUGGUAAACCUCAUUCUACGAGGAGUAACGCCAAAUUUGAAAUAGCUAAUUCGAAAUAAGUGCUGUGUAGACACUUAAUUAGAAUUAGCUGGCCUCCAGCCCCUUCCCAGUUUCCCCUGGUGGCCACUCUGGGCCAAACCAGGAAAACUCCUCUCCUCUCCCCCAGCCCUGGAGCCCUUAAAGGGGUAGACUCUGGCCAGACGGCAUGUGCCAGAGCUAGGCCUGCAAGCAGUCUCUUCCCCUGACCCAGUGGCCCCAGUAUGAGCCAGACAGCCAGUGCCAGCCAGCCAUUUCCCCGCCCAGUCCCCCAGCGGCCAGCCAGGGGUCAUAGACGGCACGCACCCGCCUGGACUGGUGCGGAGAUCAUGGAUGUCAUAGAGGUUUGGGGGGAGGCCCCCAACAUCCAUGAUCUCCACACCAGGAGAAGGAAAGUGGCUGUUUAUGGCCGUGUAGCAGCCACCAUGGCCCAGAAAGGCUACAGGUGCACCCAGGAGCAGGUGCGCCUGAAAAUUAAAGAGCUGCAGCAGGGGUUCACUAGGGCCACCAGGGGUGGCACCACAGCAGGAGCUGACACCUGGCCCUACUUCCCCGCCCUCGACCGCAUCCUGGGGGGCGGGAUGGUCCAUGCCAGCAUGGAGGGUGCCAUGCCAGCGGGACCCCCGAGCUGUCCCAGCACUGCAGUCAGCAGGGUCGUCAGGGGAGGCCACACCAGGUAAGUGCCAUCACUGUCCCCUCCCCGGGGGGGCGGGGAGGGAGAGCAAGGACCAUGCGCGUAGGCCUUGCCUACCAGAGAUCACGCAGCCACUUGUGCACGUGCAGGUAUGUGCCGUACCACCCUUGGGCAGGUGGCUCCAGCUAUGUGCCACACAAGGAACAUGGUCCAAUAGCCACACGUGUAUGUGAAGAUACCUGACAUGCUCCUGACCCCAGGGCGGGACCCAGCAAAACGUCCUCCUUUCAUACACCCCCUCUACACAGAGGCAGGGGACAUCUCCCUGCCUUGGCCGCACGAUACACGGCACAGGGGUAUGGGUGUGGUCUUGGGGCAGCUCCCACUCCCGGACAUAGCCAGACAUCCUGACCAUGGCCUCUGUGCAAGCACGUCAGCUCUGACGGUGCAGGGCACGGACGUCCUCACCUCAAAGGGGGCAUUGGGCAUCACCCACUGCGUCCCCAAGGAGAACUGAUCACUUUUCUUCCUUCUCCACAGCCGCACAAGCUGCAUGUGCAGGGCGCACCACCCCGCCCGGGACAUGCUCCCGCACCCAAGGGCUCCAAAGGACCACCGCAACAUGGCAGAGGUACUGGGACCAGCACCUGGGGGCCCUGUGAGCCCUGCAUCACACCAUCCAGGGCUGGGUGCAGGAGGACCUGCAGCUCCGCCGGGAGCAGCUUGCUCAGGACCAUGCCAUGUGCUCACACCUGCAGGUCCUGCCGCAGAGCGUGCUGCCCCAUGCCGCCCCAGUGCCUGCUGCCCCUCCAGCUACUGUUCCUCUUCCCAUUCCUG